rnacentral:rRNA from 1 species
AACGAACGCUGGCGGCAGGCUUAACACAUGCAAGUCGAACGCGUGCAGCAAUGCACGAGUGGCGCACGGGUGAGUAACGCGUGGAUAUCUGCCUUUUGGUUCGGAAUAACCCCGGGAAACUGGGGCUAAUACCGGAUGGUUCCUUCGGGAUAAAGAUUUAUCGCCAAAAGAUGAGUCCGCGUACGAUUAGCUAGUUGGUGAGGUAGUGGCUCACCAAGGCGACGAUCGUUAGCUGGUCUGAGAGGACGAUCAGCCACACUGGGACUGAGACACGGCCCAGACUCCUACGGGAGGCAGCAGUGGGGAAUAUUGGACAAUAGGGGCAACCCUGAUCCAGCCAUGCCGCGUGAGUGAUGAAGGCCUUCGGGUUGUAAAGCUCUUUUGGCGGGGACGAUGAUGACGGUACCCGCAGAAUAAGCCCCGGCUAACUUCGUGCCAGCAGCCGCGGUAA